GGGUUGUUGUUGUGGCUGCGAAGUUGGAACUUAGGCCAUACGAUGAGCGGCAUGUCACGGAAACGCAGCCACGCAGAGGCCCUGGUGCCGGCCGUCGACACCAGCAAAGAGUUCAGCCUCGCACCCGUGGCCCCCCCACUCAAGAAACCAUAUCUGCCAAACACCGAGAGCCAACAUAUCUUUGUGAAAGCAUGUGGAAAAAAGGUUACUGUUUUUUCUGUUCACUUCUCCACGAUAGAGUGAAAGAGAGGGGUGAACACAAUAGUAAAUAGAAGAUUCAGCAGAAUGGAAAACAGCCUAGCAGGGAGAGUUACAGGAAAGGAGACACAUAGAUACAAAUAUCAGAGUGGAAGGGAAGAAAAAGAAUAAAAGACUCGCUAGUUGGAGAUUAAAUGGAGAAGACAGGCAGACCUUAAUGGCUGAAAUGCAGGUUCAGUAGAAAGGAAGAGAUAUGAAAAGAAAUAGAGAAAAUUCACUGAAAGGAGACAGACUAGUGAAAAAAAGGAAUUAUCUGUACAAGACACAGUUAAGCAAAAUAUACAUCUUAUCCUUCAAACUGCUUAUCAAUGAGCAUUUCUAGUCUGUCACUUCUUAUCAUUUACAAUGUUGCAGUAACUGUUUAUUUUUUGCUGUUGCAUGUAGUACAGAUAAAACUUUUCAUGAAGUCAAAGGACCAUUUUAAUCUUUAGAUUCAAUGGCAGAUUUGGUUUGCUUUGUAAAGAAGCUAGUU